rnacentral:rRNA from 1 species
AGGGUUCGAUUCUGGCUCAGGAUGAACGCUGGCGGCGUGCUUAACACAUGCAAGUCGAACGGGAUCCAUCAAGCUUGCUUGGUGGUGAGAGUGGCGAACGGGUGAGUAAUGCGUGACCGACCUGCCCCAUACACCGGAAUAGCUCCUGGAAACGGGUGGUAAUGCCGGAUGCUCCAGUUGAUCGCAUGGUCUUCUGGGAAAGCUUUCGCGGUAUGGGAUGGGGUCGCGUCCUAUCAGCUUGACGGCGGGGUAACGGCCCACCGUGGCUUCGACGGGUAGCCGGCCUGAGAGGGCGACCGGCCACAUUGGGACUGAGAUACGGCCCAGACUCCUACGGGAGGCAGCAGUGGGGAAUAUUGCACAAUGGGCGCAAGCCUGAUGCAGCGACGCCGCGUGCGGGAUGACGGCCUUCGGGUUGUAAACCGCUUUUGACUGGGAGCAAGCCCUUCGGGGUGAGUGUACCUUUCGAAUAAGCACCGGCUAACUACGUGCCAGCAGCCGCGGUAAUACGUAGGGUGCAAGCGUUAUCCGGAAUUAUUGGGCGUAAAGGGCUCGUAGGCGGUUCGUCGCGUCCGGUGUGAAAGUCCAUCGCUUAACGGUGGAUCCGCGCCGGGUACGGGCGGGCUUGAGUGCGGUAGGGGAGACUGGAAUUCCCGGUGUAACGGUGGAAUGUGUAGAUAUCGGGAAGAACACCAAUGGCGAAGGCAGGUCUCUGGGCCGUUACUGACGCUGAGGAGCGAAAGCGUGGGGAGCGAACAGGAUUAGAUACCCUGGUAGUCCACGCCGUAAACGAUGAGUGCUAGGUGUUGGAUCCUUUCCGGGAUUCAGUGCCGCAGCUAACGCAUUAAGCACUCCGCCUGGGGAGUACGACCGCAAGGUUGAAACUCAAAGGAAUUGACGGGGGCCCGCAC